AUGUUGGCUUCGGCAGUACAUAUACUAAAACUGGAAUGAUACAGAGAAGAUUAGCAUAGCCCUUGAGCAAAGAUGACAUGCAAAUUUGUGAAGUGUUCCAUUAAAAA
rnacentral:snRNA from 1 species